GCGGGUCUUCAUUCCACAGAGUCAAAGUCUUCUUCAAAGAAUUCUUCCACAAAAAUUGACACACAAUUGAUUAAAGAGUCACAGUGUUCUUCAAAGAAUUCUUCUACAGAAAGUGUACACAGCGACACACCAUUGAUUAAAGGACGUCAAGGCAGUGACACCACUGAUUAAGAAGCGAGCGAGAGUUUGAAGAGGGUGAACUUCACUUCAUGAGAAAUCUUCAAAACUGACUACAGUAAAGUCACAAAUCAUUAAUUCAAACAUAAAUAAGAGGUUCACCACACCACUAAAAUUGAAAUAGCUUUGACCUUUUAUAAGGUCAAUAUUAUAAUAAAUAAAUAAUAAUAAUAAAAAAUAUAUUAUUUCAUACUUUUGUAUGGAAAAUGGAUCAAAAGACAAACUCACAGAGAAUUCACUCUGUUCGGUGAAUGAAACAUAUUGGGCAGAAAACUCAAACAAGGUUGACGCAGAACUUCAACACUAUGAACUACAUUCUCUUGAAUGUUAAAUGGCAAUGUUUCAUUCCACAGUGGAUCUUAAUGAUAAAUAAUCAAAAAAAUAUAUACAUAUUGAAUGUAAAUGAUCAAUUAAUUUAUAUUAGAGGAUGACAUUUUGGGGGGAAACCUGUGGGUCACGGGAUUCCUUUGGGAUGGGAGUCAAGCGGGUUUCAGGCAGGAACAUAGGGGACUUCAGACAUCCAGACUAUGAAAACUAUAUGUUCUAUUAAAGAUGAAAGUGAUUUCAUAAAAUAUAAAAAUACAUCAAUUGUGAUAAAACUAGAUUCACAUCACAGCCUUGUUGAUGCAACAUUUGUUCAAUUGAAAGUUGUACAUGCGGAAUAUACGGAAAAGUUUGUUCUCGCUGUUAUGUGAGUCAUAAAUCAGAUUUUUAUAUAUAUAUAAAUAUAAUAACAUGAGAAACUACUUUCAGACUUUGUUUUUAUCAGGAAUGGGAUGGGACUGGAGUGAAAAUCCAAUUCCAUCCCUCUCUACUUAAAAUACAAGAGGAGGUGUUCCCACUGUUGACAAAUGUGUCUGUAAAUAGGUAAAUGUAGAUCUGUCUAUAUAAAUAUUUUUUCAUAUUUCUUGUGUUAAUAUAUUACAUGAUGAUUUAACACAUUGGAGAUGCUCUCUCAUGUCUUUUUUUUGGGGGGGGGUUGAGUUAAAGAAAGAUGCACAAGAACAAAAAACAUCAGUAAGCUUGUCAUCACAUGAUUCAUUUUAUGGUUUGGGUGUUUAUGUGAUAUUCUUCUUCUGGAUGGUUUGAAGCUGGUAAAGUUUAUUUUACAAAUGCAAAUGUUCAUAUAGACACACAUAUCCACACACACUGGCAUGUGUCAGUUUAAGAUUUAUUUUGUAGAUGUGUAAACGCUCAAUCAAAUUUAAUUUUUAUGUAAAUGUUGGAUUUUUCUUGAAGUUGUUUUUUUGCAGUGUUUAAUGUGACUGUUUCUUAGAUUGAUAUUAUAUAGGUUGGUAAAAUAUGCGGGGUGGUUCUGUGACAUUAUUGAUCAUAUUAUUUGUACAUGGGUUUACAGAUCAAUAAAGCAUCCAAUAUAAAAUA